rnacentral:rRNA from 1 species
UACGUAGGGGGCAAGCGUUGUCCGGAUUUAUUGGGCGUAAAGAGCGUGUAGGCGGCCAGACAGGUCCGUUGUGAAAACUGGAGGCUUAACCUUCAGACGUCGAUGGAAACCGUCUGGCUAGAGUCCGGAAGAGGAGAGUGGAAUUCCUGGUGUAGCGGUGAAAUGCGCAGAUAUCAGGAAGAACAUCCGUGGCUAAGGCGGCUCUCUAGUACGGUACUGACGCUGAGACGCGAAAGCGUGGGGAGCGAACAGG